rnacentral:rRNA from 1 species
GACGAACGCUGGCGGCGUGCUUAACACAUGCAAGUCGAACGGAAAGGCCCUGCUUGCAGGGUGCUCGAGUGGCGAACGGGUGAGUAACACGUGGGUGAUCUGCCCCUUACUUUGGGAUAAGCCUGGGAAACUGGGUCUAAUACUGGAUAGGACCAUGCUGUAGGUGGUGUGGUGGAAAGAUUAGUUUCGGUAAGGGAUGAGCUCGCGGCCUAUCAGCUUGUUGGUGGGGUAAUGGCCUACCAAGGCGUCGACGGGUAGCCGGCCUGAGAGGGUGGACGGCCACAUUGGGACUGAGAUACGGCCCAGAAUCCUACGGGAGGCAGCAGUGGGGAAUAUUGCACAAUGGGCGCAAGCCUGAUGCAGCGACGCCGCGGGGGGGAUGACGGCCUUCGGGUUGUAAACUCCUUUCAGCCAUGACGAAGCCCUUGUGGUGACGGUAGUGGUAGAAGAAGCACCGGCUAACUACGUG